rnacentral:tRNA from 1 species
GGUCGGUUGGCGCAAUGGUAGCGCGUGGCCCUCCUACUAUGCAAGUGAUCUACAUAUAGUAGAGCAAAGCAAAGCAAAGCAAAAAAGGCCAAGGUUGCGGGUUCGAGUCCCGUACUGAUCG